rnacentral:rRNA from 1 species
GACGAACGCUGGCGGCGUGCUUAACACAUGCAAGUCGAACGGAAAGGCCCUGCUUUUGUGGGGUGCUCGAGUGGCGAACGGGUGAGUAACACGUGAGUAACCUGCCCUUGACUUUGGGAUAACUUCAGGAAACUGGGGCUAAUACCGGAUAGGAGCUCCUGCUGCAUGGUGGGGGUUGGAAAGUUUCGGCGGUUGGGGAUGGACUCGCGGCUUAUCAGCUUGUUGGUGGGGUAGUGGCUUACCAAGGCUUUGACGGGUAGCCGGCCUGAGAGGGUGACCGGCCACAUUGGGACUGAGAUACGGACCAGACUCCUACGGGAGGCAGCAGUGGGGAAUAUUGCACAAUGGGCGGAAGCCUGAUGCAGCAACGCCGCGUGCGGGAUGACGGCCUUCGGGUUGUAAACCGCUUUCGCCUGUGACGAAGCGUGAGUGACGGUAAUGGGUAAAGAAGCACCGACUAACUACGUG